rnacentral:rRNA from 1 species
AGAGUUUGAUCCUGGCUCAGGAUGAACGCUGGCGGCGUGCCUAAUACAUGCAAGUCGAACGCUUCACUUCGGUGAAGAGUGGCGAACGGGUGAGUAAUACAUAAGUAACCUGGCAUCUACAGGGGGAUAACUGAUGGAAACGUCAGCUAAGACCGCAUAGGUGUAGAGAUCGCAUGAACUCUAUAUGAAAAGUGCUACGGGACUGGUAGAUGAUGGACUUAUGGCGCAUUAGCUUGUUGGUAGGGUAACGGCCUACCAAGGCGACGAUGCGUAGCCGACCUGAGAGGGUGACCGGCCACACUGGGACUGAGACACGGCCCAGACUCCUACGGGAGGCAGCAGUAGGGAAUUUUCGGCAAUGGGGGAAACCCUGACCGAGCAACGCCGCGUGAAGGAAGAAGUAAUUCGUUAUGUAAACUUCUGUCAUAGAGGAAGAACGGUGGAUAUAGGGAAUGAUAUCCAAGUGACGGUACUCUAUAAGAAAGCCACGGCUAACUACGCGCCAGCAGCCGCGGUAAUACGUAGGUGGCGAGCGUUAUCCGGAAUUAUUGGGCGUAAAGAGGGAGCAGGCGGCACUAAGGGUCUGUGGUGAAAGAUCGAAGCUUAACUUCGGUAAGCCAUGGAAACCGUAGAGCUAGAGUGUGUGAGAGGAUCGUGGAAUUCCAUGUGUAGCGGUGAAAUGCGUAGAUAUAUGGAGGAACACCAGUGGCGAAGGCGACGAUCUGGCGCAUAACUGACGCUCAGUCCCGAAAGCGUGGGGAGCAAAUAGGAUUAGAUACCCUAGUAGUCCACGCCGUAAACGAUG